CAGAGUUCCGUUGGCCCCAGCUUCCUGUCCUUGGAGAUAAGAGUGGCAGUUUCCUUUCAGUAUGGGGAGGACAUCUUUCACAUGGGAAUUUCGUCUCCUGCUUUUGAGAAAGAAAAUGAAGAUCAGAGGGAUCUUCUAGCACCUCUUGCUUUUCAGCGCUCUUCACAGUGCCUCUCCGAAAUGAAGAGCUUCUCUUGGGGCAGAAACCAACACGCUGCUCCCUUCUAGGAGAAAGUCUCACUCUGGGAGAAAUGUUCACUGAGCCUCAAGGUGUGUUCCCAGACGGUCCCAUGGAUUUACACGCCGCCGGCACCAGGUGCUAAAGCAGCUCAGACCCCACUUUGAGGAGCUCUGUGUCCCUGGGAGGGAGAGCAGAGUCCAAUCUCAAGAACCAAAGACCUGAACUGCAGACGAAGCUUCCUUCCCACCUCCUGGGCUUUGAGGAGCCUGCAUUCCCUGCCCACUCUUCUCCUGCUGUGCCCACAGCAGGGCUGGCCUGCAGCCCUCCAGGAGAAUUGUUCAGACUUCAAAGACUUGUUUCAAAUGGAAAGAAAACCUCCGCAGACCAUGGGGCUCAGGAAACUUCUCCUAAAGAUCUCUUGCACCCCUGAAGCUUCUGAUUGAAGAAUGGGAAGAAGUCUGCAAAAACCAGAGUUGCUGUUGAGCCUGGUGCUGGUCAGUUAUUAAUAAAAAGACCAAUAAAUGUAGGUCCCACAUGGAGGCAAAGCUGAAACCAGACUGCAGGCACUUAAACAUUCCGGUCUGCACAGGCUCUGUCCUCCUCCCAGUGGCGCCUGCUCCACUUGUGGCUGGGGGACAUUUGGGUGGUCCUACCACCUGUUGGAAGUGCUCAGAUGCCUGGAACCAAACCAGGUCCUGAACAUAGGUUGGGACGUGGCACUUCAUGUUGGUGCCACCCUUGACUGUCUGCUAGGGAGGUAGCCUGGGCAUAGGAUUUGAAAGGUGAACAUUUCUGAACCUCCCAAAAAGAUAUGCUGUGAAUUUCAGACAAAAACAGACCUGAAUUCAAAGACUGUGGGCUCAAGCUGUCUCCUCUGGCCCUUGGCAUUCUCUUCCCACGGGUGGCUAAAAGCAUUCAGGAUGACGCAUGUCAAAGCAGUCUGCACAUGGCUGCUCGCUGCUGAUGCGCACACAGUCCUGCAGGCCAAGGCCCUGCCCUCGGCUCCUACCACCCCUGCCUGAGAACCAGGACAAAUGAGAUCCUGUUAAGAAACUGCAGAUUGAUGAUGUUUGUCCAAAUUGUUGCAGGAAGGCAGGUUACAGCCAUCAGGCUUUCCAGACAGGGGAUCAGCUAGUUGGCCAGCUUCUAUGGUCUAACAGAGGCAACCACUUUAGAGAAACCUUUCAGGGUGGUCCAGAGGUUACAGGCAUGGACAGAAGGUCAGAAAGUGUCCACAGGACCUGGGCUUCAAGCCGCCAGAGUUUCUUCAGGGGUAGGAGUUGUCAGGUGAAGACCCUAUCCUCCUCCAUCUGCUGCCUAGCAGGAAAUGGAAGAGGGUCUUGGGGUGGGCUGAGGAGCACAGGCAGGGCAGGAGGGAUACUCCAGUGGUCCUGGCCAUGUGCUAAAUGUGCAUGAAUUUCUGACACCUAAAAUAGCCCCGGACACGGGACACAGUGCCAGGAAGCUCCUGUUCAACAUCUCAGCAACUGGUAGCUUCAGGGCUGAGAAUAAGAAACCAUCAUUUGCAGUUUCUAUA
rnacentral:lncRNA from 1 species